GACGAACCUCCCGAACGUUAUUCGGAAUCACUGGGCUUAAAGGGUGCGUAGGCUGCGUAGUAAGUCAGGUGUGAAAUCCCCCAGCUUAACUGAGGAAUUGCGCCCGAAACUGCUGCGCUGGAGGGAGACAGAGGUAAGCGGAACUGAUGGUGGAGCGGUGAAAUGCGUUGAUAUCAUCAGGAACACCAGUGGCGAAAGCGGCUUACUGGGUCUCUUCUGACGCUGAGGCACGAAAGCUAGGGGAGCAAACGGG
rnacentral:rRNA from 1 species